rnacentral:rRNA from 1 species
UACGGAGGGGGCUAGCGUUGUUCGGAUUUACUGGGCGUAAAGCGCACGUAGGCGGCGUAUCAAGUCAGAGGUGAAAGGCCUGGGCUCAACCUAGGAACGGCCUUUGAUACUGGUAUGCUUGAGUUCGGAAGAGGGUAGUGGAAUUCCAAGUGUAGAGGUGAAAUUCGUAGAUAUUUGGAAGAACACCGGUGGCGAAGGCGGCUACCUGGUCCGAUACUGGACGCUAGGUGCGAAAGCGUGGGGAGCGAACAGGAUUAGAUUACCCCUGUAGUCC